AACGAACGCUGGCGGCAGGCUUAACACAUGCAAGUCGAACGCCCCGCAAGGGGAGUGGCAGACGGGUGAGUAACGCGUGGGAACAUACCCUUUCCUGCGGAAUAGCUCUGGGAAACUGGAAUUAAUACCGCAUACGCCCUCCGUGGGAAAGAUUUAUCGGGGAAGGAUUGGCCCGCGUUGGAUCAGCUAGGUGGUGGGGUAAAGGCCUACCAAGGCGACGAUCCAUAGCUGGUCUGAGAGGAUGAUCAGCCACAUUGGGACUGAGACACGGCCCAAACUCCUACGGGAGGCAGCAGUGGGGAAUAUUGGACAAUGGGCGCAAGCCUGAUCCAGCCAUGCCGCGUGAGUGAUGAAGGCCUUAGGGUUGUAAAGCUCUUUCACCGAUGAAGAUAAUGACGGUAGUCGGAGAAGAAGCCCCGGCUAACUUCGUGCCAGCCGCCGCCGUAAGAC
rnacentral:rRNA from 1 species